AUAAUAAGGCAGCCAAAAGUAUUAUAGUCGAAUAUUUGGCGGACUCAUAUCUUAAUUAUAUUAAUGAAAAUGGGACUGCUCAAGCAGUUUUUAAACAUUUUGACGCGAUCUAUGAAAGGAAAAGUGUAGCAACUCAAUUAGCGCUGAGAAAACAAUUAUUGGGAUUAAAAUUAAAAGCCGAUAUACCCUUGAUCAAACACUUCUCAACAUUUGACGAUCUGCUGACAGAAUUAUCAGCUGCUGGAGCUAAAUUAGAGGAAACGGACAAAGUAGCUCAUUUAUUACUUACUCUCCCGAAUACAUAUGAUGGCGUUAUCACUGCAAUUGAGACACUAUCUGAAGAAAAUAUCACUCUCGGUUUUGUAAAAACUAGACUAUUAGAUCACGAAGUAAAAUUAAAAAACGAGAGUCGUGAUACCAGUUUAAAGAUACUCCAUGUUGAAGAAAAAUAUAAUAAAACAGAUACAAUCGCACAAAACAAAACUAUUUGAAGAAUACAACAUUCAAGAAAACAAACAAACAAAAAUUUGUGAAAUGUCAUUACUGUGGACGCAAAGGACACAAGAAACAGGAUUGUUUCUAUUUCAAAAGACAGACAAAUAUACAAAACAAUGCCCCAGAAAGGACAAGACAAGUCCAAACUAUUGCCCUGCAAGAGGGAACGACCUCGAAUUCUUCUUUUUCAGGAUUUGCGUUCAUGACAAGCGCAUACCAUUAUGAAAAAGACCACUCGACAAUUAAAUUCCUAUUAGAUUCAGGAGCGUCUGAUCACAUCACAAAUAGAGAUGAUCUCUUCACAUCGUUUGAAUGUUUAAAUCCUCCUUUAAAAAUUUCAGUAGCUAAAACAAUACAUUUAUUUCAGCAACUAAAAGGGGAAACAUAAAUCUUAUCAGUCAAACAGGAGUGCAAGGAAUACUUACAAAUGUAUUGUUCUGUGCCGAAGUACCAUAUAAUUUAAUAUCGGUAUCAAAGAUGCAGCAAGCAGGAUUCACCAUAAUAUUUGAUGACAAAGGCACACAAAUUACAAAGGAAGGUAAAAUCAUCAUGAAAGGUAACCAGUUGGCAGACUUGUUGACAAAACCUUUACCAGUCGUGUCUUUUAUAAGACUGAGAAAAGGAUUGGGUAUAGAAUAAGUUUUAAUUUAAGUACAAUUUCAUUAUGAAAUGGUCUGAUCAGGUUUUUCUGGGUUUUCCCUGAUCCUGUGCAGCAAAUGUUGGACCAUUAUUGUACAGUUGUCCCAGACCUUACUUGGAAGUAUAAUAUGUUACGUCGUAUUUAUAAGUUGGUAUUCACUUUGUAAUGUUGAAUUGUAGACUAGAUACUGUAUAGUAAACUAACGAAUGACUAAAAGUUAGGGAUUAAUUUUUGAGGGGGCGUGUUGGAUUAUAUAAAGCAAAAACUAAUACCCCUAACUUUCGAUAACAUUGUUCUUUGUUCUAUCUGAACAAUCUACUGUUUAUUUAACUCUACACACACUGCGUCACGGGAUCUUGUUAGACGGACGUAUUGCUUCCAAGUACCAUUUAAAGUAUAGAAUAAAUAUU